rnacentral:rRNA from 1 species
GACGAACGCUGGCGGCGUGCUUAACACAUGCAAGUCGAACGGAAAGGCCCUGCUUGCAGGGUACUCGAGUGGCGAACGGGUGAGUAACACGUGGGUGAUCUGCCCUGCACUUCGGGAUAAGCUUGGGAAACUGGGUCUAAUACCGGAUAGGAGCCAUCUUUAGUGUGGUGGUUGGAAAGUUUUUUCGGUGUAGGAUGAGCUCGCGGCCUAUCAGCUUGUUGGUGGGGUAAUGGCCUACCAAGGCGGCGACGGGUAGCCGGCCUGAGAGGGUGUACGGCCACAUUGGGACUGAGAUACGGCCCAGACUCCUACGGGAGGCAGCAGGGGGGAAUAUUGCACAAUGGGCGCAAGCCUGAUGCAGCGACGCCGCGUGGGGGAUGAAGGCCUUCGGGUUGUAAACUCCUUUCGCUAGGGACGAAGCUUCUUUGUGACGGUACCUAGAUAAGAAGCACCGGCUAACUACGUG